CAGGCCUAACACAUGCAAGUCGAGGGGUAACGAUGGUGCUUGCACCAGGCGACGACCGGCGCACGGGUGAGUAACGCGUAUGCAACCUGCCUUACACUGGGGGAUAGCCCAGAGAAAUCUGGAUUAAUACCGCAUAAUAAUUGUUUUUCGCAUGUUAAACAAUUUAAAACUCCGGUGGUGUAAGAUGGGCAUGCGUAAUAUUAGCUAGUUGGUGAGGUAAUGGCUCACCAAGGCGAUGAUAUUUAGGGGGUCUGAGAGGAUAGUCCCCCACACUGGUACUGAGACACGGACCAGACUCCUACGGGAGGCAGCAGUGAGGAAUAUUGGUCAAUGGGCGAAAGCCUGAACCAGCCAUGUCGCGUGAAGGAUGACUGCCCUAUGGGUUGUAAACUUCUUUUAUACAGGAAUAAAUGAUCUACGUGUAGAUAGCUGAAGGUACUGUAUGAAUAAGGAUCGGCUAACUCCGUGCCAGCAGCCGCGGUAAUACGGAGGAUUCGAGCGUUAUCCGGAUUUAUUGGGUUUAAAGGGUCCGUAGGCGGGCUUGUAAGUCAGUGGUGAAAUCUCACAGCUCAACUGUGAAACUGCCAUUGAUACUGCAGGUCUUGAAUUUGGUUGAGGUAGGCGGAAUACGAUAUGUAGCGGUGAAAUGCAUAGAUAUAUCGUAGAACACCGAUUGCGAAGGCAGCUUACUAAGCCAAUAUUGACGCUGAUGGACGAAAGCGUGGGGAG
rnacentral:rRNA from 1 species